UACGUAGGGCGCAAGCGUUGUCCGGAAUUAUUGGGCGUAAAGAGCUCGUAGGCGGCCUGUUGCGUCCGCUGUGAAAUCCCGGGGCUCAACCCCGGGCGUGCAGUGGAUACGGGCUGGCUGGAGGCAGGCAGGGGAGAACGGAAUUCCUGGUGUAGCGGUGAAAUGCGCAGAUAUCAGGAGGAACACCGGUGGCGAAGGCGGGUCUCUGGGCCGAUACUGACGCUGAGGAGCGAAAGCAUGGGUAGCGAACAGG
rnacentral:rRNA from 1 species